CCUACGGGUGGCAGCAGUAGGGAAUUUUCGUCAAUGGGCGCAAGCCUGAACGAGCAAUGCCGCGUGAACGAGGAAGGUCUUCUGAUCGUAAAGUUCUGUUUAAGGGGAAAAAGAGCGGAGAGAGGAAAUGCUUUCUGAUUGAUCUUACGCUUCGAGGCAGUCACGGCUAACUACGUGCCAGCAGCCGCGGUAAUACGUAGGUGGCGAGCGUUAUCCGGAAUGAUUGGGCGGAAGGGGUGCGUAGGCGGCCUGCUAAGGCUGGAGUAAAAGGUACCGGCUCAACCGGUACAGGCUCUGGAAACUGGCGGGCUAGAGAGCAGGAGAGGGCGGUGGAACGCCAUGUGUAGCGGUAAAAUGCGUAGAGAU
rnacentral:rRNA from 1 species